rnacentral:rRNA from 1 species
GGUUAACGCUGGCGGCGUGCCUAACACAUGCAAGUCGAACGGUUCUAAGCGCGAGCUUAGGAUAGUGGCGAACGGGUGAGUAAAAGGUAGGAAUCUACCCCUUGGACGGAGAUAGCUACUGGAAACGGUAGGUAAACUUCGAUAAGCCCGAGAGGGGAAAGUGGUGAGACAGCCGAGGGAUGAGCCUACUCUCCAUCAGGUAGUUGGUGAGAUAAAAGCUUACCAAGCCGAUGACGGAUAACCGGUGUGAGAGCAUGAACGGUCACAAGGGCACUGAGAGACGGGCCCUACUCCUACGGGAGGCAGCAGUGGGGAAUCUUGGACAAUGGGCGAAAGCCUGAUCCAGCGACGCCGCGUGGAGGAAGAAGUCCUUCGGGAUGUAACUUACUUGAACUUAGACCGAAUAAAAGGACCUGUGGACACACAGGAGAAGAAAGUAGGACUAGGAAAGUACCCGGACUAACUAACGUGCCAGCAGCCGCGGUAAAAGUAACGUACUAU